CUGCAGGCAGGACAGUCCUCUUCCCGGGCUCACCGCAACAUUCAGUAGCUGCUUUGAAGGAACAGAAUAAGGUUGCCACAUGCCAGUCUGUCCUCCGAUCACUUCAGGGUUCCACUCACCGUGGGUUCAAGGCUUCUUUGAUUCUUUGUUUCCUUUAGUUUUCAUUCUCUCCUCUUCAGAACAAGAGUAGAUGGUUCGGUGUAUGCAAAUAUCACAGUUCCAGAAACCCACACCUGUGACUGAUGGGAGUGGUGGACAAAUACCCACAACUUCCUCUCUCUACUCUUGGCUGAGGACAAUUCUGAAGUGAGCCCUACACUGUCUCCCAGAUGCAGUCUGACCUGAGCCAUGAAGAAGUGCAGAGUCCCCAAGAGGCCAGAGAGCUCACGUCUGGUUAGAGUCGGGGUGUUUGAUGGGAAGAUGAAAGGAGGAGCUGGCAUCUGAGCUCUUGUAAAUGAAGAAAUUAAAACUGCAAGUUGAAACUGAGUCACUGAUGGCGCCAGAUGUUUCUGGAGCAAAACUGGGAAAGAGGGUGAGCAUUGGAAAGACACCUCCUCCUGUUAUCUUCGAGAAGCCAUUUACUGGGAAAACAAAAACUGAGCUCCAUGAUGCAUAAAUUCCAAAAUGCAGAGGCCAAUUUCUUUCCCUUUGACCACAUGUCGGAAAGGCUCGGGGUUCAGUAACUGGAGGAGGCAGUGUUUAAUCCCAAUUUUACCAGUGAAGAAACUGAGGCUCAGAAAAACAAAGUGACUCCAAAUUCCUUGAGCACCUGGCCAGGGUCAGUCCCCACGGUGGCUGAGAUGGUUGACCAAUGGCCUCUGGGGAGAAGGCUAUGGGCACAGACACUGGUCCCUGGCUUGUUGGGAGGGAACAAGGAUGUCCAUCUGUCCUCCCUCAACACUGCCUCCUGGGGGACAAGGAAGAUGCCCAGAGUGAGUGGGCAGGGUGGGC
rnacentral:lncRNA from 1 species